CUAUCAUCUAUCUAUAUAUCUAUCUCUUCGGAAACUUGAUUGAAAAGCUAUUACGAAGUAAUAAACCACAAUCAAGUUCACCCUCUUCACCAGCCUCCAUCACACGCCUUGCCACACUUCGCGCUCAUUGAACUAAGGAUCGACAUGAUUUCCGCGACACCCUUUGUUCAGUCUUCUUCACGCGCGGAGAUUGGGUGUCAGCAGAGGAUCGAGUCUUGGUGAAGCUCUUCCGCCAAAGUCUUUCUGGCUUUGAGAGAUGAUUUAGUGAGUGUUCACGACCCUCCCUUGGAAGGAAUAUUUGCCUGACAGGGGAGACUGCGAGCGUUGGUUGCCUUCAGUCACACGAAUGUUUCACCACCAAAAGGUUUCAAGUGUUAAUCUCGAGUCGGAAAUUCUACUUCAAGCUGAGAGAGUGAUCCGAUUACUGCUGUCGGUAACUUUUAUAUUAUUUUCUCUUUUGAAGUUGCGAUCGUGUUCCCGCUCCGCCGUGACGUUCAUGUUGACACAGGAAUUUGCAAGUUUUCUUUUUCUCCUUCGUUAAGCAUUAUUUCCUUUUUAAAACGAAAUGAACUUAAGAAAUAAAAGAUAUAAUGACAUAACAUACCCACUUUUUAGGUCUUGAAAAAAGAAAAUCAACACUAGCACCACCACUACCACCACCAUCACCACCACCACCGACUCUGGCAUCAUCCCAUUGUUAGUGUUGCAAUCACGCGAACAGAAAAUACAAGUGCAAUGUCGUAAUGGGGAAAAGGAGGCGACGUGUCGGCGAAGUUACUGCCGGACUAAUCAGCGACACCAACGACAGCACACGCACAAAAAGGCAAACAAACAAACAAGCAAACAUACAAACAAGAAAACAAACACAAGGAGCUCCACCUCCACUACCACCACCACCAACACCACCACCAACACCACCUCUCCUUGCCCCUCAUCAAGAGCAACACGAGCGGCGGCCACAGAACUAUCGAGGCACGAGGAAGCAGACCACGCCGUUGGUAAAGCUUACUGAUGCAUCCAUUCUCGAGCUCACCGGCGUCAGCAAGAAACUAAACAUCCCCGCGAGGGUUUACAGCGUGUAGCAGCGCACGUUGGUUUCAGGCUCAGGGCAGACAACUUCAGGAAACAGUCUGCUGAUAUUACUAUUUUCCUGAUGCAUCAAGAUCCAAAGUAUUUAUUUUAUAAUUAUAUACAGUUUCGAUUUAUUUAUAUAAAAGUAACUGAUAUUUCUAAGCAUAAAUUAUUAUUUAUUUCUACAAAGAGAACGGCCAGCCGAUUAUAUGUAAAUAUUUGUUUUCUUUUGAAGAGGCCGAUACGGAAAGAUAAGGCGUACGACACAACCACAUGUCAAUUGGCAAUAUUACGCCUUUGUUGUUGAACGCUAUAAAUAUAUGAAUAACAUGAAUAACAUUACCCAGCAAAAGCGUUAGAAUAAAAAAUAAAUCAACAACCACAGCCCACGGCGCUGAGAUAACAAAGAGGAGCGAUGAGCCGGCGUGACCAGACUAACACCGGCGUGGCCGAGAAGGUGCGGGCAGGCAGGUGUAGCAAACAAUAAAACUCCCCUCCCUUC